rnacentral:rRNA from 2 species
AUACUUGACCUCAAAUCAGGUAGGACUACCCGCUGAACUUAAGCAUAUCAAUAAGCGGAGGAAAAGAAACUAACAAGGAUUCCCCUAGUAACUGCGAGUGAAGCGGGAAAAGCUCAAAUUUAAAAUCUGGCAGUCUCUGGCUGUCCGAGUUGUAAUCUAGAGAAGUAAUGCCCGUGCUGGACCGUGUAUAAGUCUCCUGGGAUGGGGCGUCAUAGAGGGUGAGAAUCCCGUCUUUGACACGGACUACCAGUGCAUUGUGGUAUGCUCUCAAAGAGUCGAGUUGUUUGGGAAUGCAGCUCAAAAUGGGUGGUAAAUUCCAUCUAAAGCUAAAUAUUGGCGAGAGACCGAUAGCGAACAAGUACCGUGAGGGAAAGAUGAAAAGAACUUUGGAAAGAGAGUUAAACAGUACGUGAAAUUGCUGAAAGGGAAACGCUUGAAGUCAGUCGCGUUGGCCGGGAAUCAGCCUUGCUUCUGCACGGUGUACUUUCUGGUUGACGGGUCAGCAUCAAUUUUGACCGCUGGAAAAAGGCCUGGGGAAUGUGGCAGCUUCGGCUGUGUUAUAGCCCCUAGUCGCAUACAGUGGUUGGGAUUGAGGAACUCAGCACGCCGCAAGGCCGGGUUUCGACCACGUUCGUGCUUAGGAUGCUGGCAUAAUGGC